rnacentral:rRNA from 1 species
UAUGCGAAAAACAAACCUUAGCUAGCAGUAUCCUGAGUAGGGCGGGACACGAGGAAUCCUGUCUGAAUCCGGGUCGACCACGAUCCAACCCUAAAUACUAAUACCAGAUCGAUAGUGCACAAGUACCGUGAGGGAAAGGUGAAAAGAACUGAGGUGAUCAGAGUGAAAUAGAACCUGAAACCAUUUGCUUACAAUCAUUCAGAGCCCUAUGUAGCAAUACAGGGUGAUGGACUGCCUUUUGCAUAAUGAGCCUGCGAGUUGUGGUGUCUGGCAAGGUUAAGCAAACGCGAAGCCGUAGCGAAAGCGAGUCUGAAUAGGGCGCUUAGUCAGAUGCUGCAGACCCGAAACGAAGUGAUCUAUCCAUGAGCAAGUUGAAGCUAGUGUAAGAACUAGUGGAGGACUGAACCCAUAGGCGUUGAAAAGCCCCGGGAUGACUUGUGGAUAGGGGUGAAAGGCCAAUCAAACUUCGUGAUAGCUGGUUCUCUCCGAAAUAUAUUUAGGUAUAGCGUUGUGUCGUAAUAUAAGGGGGUAGAGCACUGAAUGGGCUAGGGCAUACACCAAUGUACCAAACCCUAUCAAACUCCGAAUACCUUAUAUGUAAUCACAGCAGUCAGGCGGCGAGUGAUAAAAUCCGUCGUCAAGAGGGAAACAACCCAGACUACCAGCUAAGGUCCCUAAAUCUUACUUAAGUGGAAAACGAUGUGAAGUUACUUAAACAACCAGGAGGUUGGCUUAGAAGCAGCCAUCCUUUAAAGAAAGCGUAAUAGCUCACUGGUCUAGUGAUUUUGCGCGGAAAAUAUAACGGGGCUAAAGUAAGUACCGAAGCUGUAGACUUAGUUUACUAAGUGGUAGGAGAGCGUUCUAUUUGCGUCGAAGGUAUACCGGUAAGGAGUGCUGGAGCGAAUAGAAGUGAGCAUGCAGGCAUGAGUAGCGAUAAUUAAUGUGAGAAUCAUUAACGCCGUAAACCCAAGGUUUCCUACGCGAUGCUCGUCAUCGUAGGGUUAGUCGGGUCCUAAGUCGAGUCCGAAAGGGGUAGACGAUGGCAAAUUGGUUAAUAUUCCAAUACCAACAUUAGUGUGCGAUGGAAGGACGCUUAGGGCUAAGGGGGCUAGCGGA